GAAGUUCCUGCACAGCCAUGAUUUGAAUCGAUUACGUAUGAAUAUGAUCACUCUGCGAUGGAAAAUGGAUUGAAUAUAGUGUUACCUGAUCUGCAUUUGCGUUAUUGAAGGCGAUUAUGUCAGCUAAACUUCGAACAGGGGAAACCACGAGCUCUUUCAGGUGGGGAUGUUGGUUGUCUUACUUUAGAGUGUUGAAAUGAUCGUCAAAAGCUUGUGUGAUGGUUGAAUCAUUGAAGAAGCUGAAAAAGGGGUUCCUCACAAUUCCUAAUCUCUUCCCUUUUAACCCAUUUGGAUUGAGGAAUUGUUUGUAGCCACCAUAUGGAAUGUACUUAGAGGCUGUUCUAGUGGCUGCAUCAUUAUAAUCAAAUCCUACAAUGGUGUCAAGAACUAUCACAGCAUCUGUCACUGUCCUGCCAAUUGGUCUGCUUUCACAUGUGAAGGUUACAAAGUUUUAGUUCUUAUAAUCUUUGUAGAAUGUUUUGCUGAUAUGGGUGCAAGAUUGCUCACCCAAUAGUGUCUUGUCUUGGGGAGACUGGAAUGACACCUGCUCUACUAGUGAGGCCGACCGUCGGUUUGAUGCCAACAACUGAGUUGAAACUAGCUGGACAGAGGAUAGAACCGUCGGUCUCGGUUCCUAUUGAGACUGCUGCUAUGUUUGCUGCAACUGAUAUGGAAGGUCCACUGCUGGAUCCACAGGGUGAUGCCGAUAAAACAUAUGGAUUCUGAAAAGAAUUGUAGAAAUUAAAUGGUUUUUAGUUGUACAUGAAAAACAUUGAACGUGUGGAUAAAUUGUCUUUGGAGCCAAUUCGAAGUAACACACCUUUCCUUGACCACCUCUAGCGCUCAAACCAGCUGGAGCAGUGAGGGACCUAAAAUCAGCCCAUUCACUCAAGCUGGCCUUUCCUAGUAUGAUAGCUCCAGCCUUCCUUAGUCUCUUCACUAUACCUGCAUCACGAGGCACGAUAGACCCGAGCAAUGCGAAUGAUCCAGCAGUAGUAUUCAACUUAUCCUUAGUCCCAAUGGUAUCCUUGAGUAGAAUUGGAAUUCCGUGCAACCCACAAAGUGAUCCAGGCUUAUUAGCCUCUCGUUCUCUGUCAGCCUUGUAAGCUUGCAUCAAUGCAUCUGGGUUGAUUUCUAUGACCCCAUGGACAACCGGAUUGAGUCUGCGAAUUUCUCCAAUGUAGAAGUUGACAAGUUCCCUCGAAGUGAGUUGGUUUUGCUUGAAAGCUAGCUGGAGGUCGUGCACUGUGGCUUCUCUAAUUGACAAUCCUCGAACCGUUACGCAAUAUGGUGUAGUCAAACAGAAGGCCACAAGAAUCAGAAGCAUUGAGAAGGCUACAGAACUAAGUGGUGAAGAGUUGGCCAUGGAAGCGGGAAGUAGUAGCUUCAGUGGAAGUUCUAAAUUUUAGGCCAUGGAUUCAUCAUAAUAUAUAGGUAAGUUUCAAUGGAAAGGUUUGAUUUGGUCACUGUUUUCUUGUACAUGUUCUAAGCUUCUGACCAGGUUUUGGUUUAUGGCCAUUGAAAGAUUACAAAAGGAAGGGUAUGGAGAUGAGAACAUUAAAAAUAUGAAGAUUUGAUGAAGUCCAAAGCAAGAGGAGGAGGGUAUUGCCGUCCAUGUCCGGUGGAUUUGAUUGUUUGUAGCUUUAAUUCUUAUAUGUUAUGUUUGUUUUGUUCAUGGGAUCUAAAGACAAUGUUUGGUUGACUAAUGAGCUCGAAGAAAAUUUUAAAUGGUUUUCAAGGAAUAUGCAAUUUAAAGUUUUCAAUUCAA